CCCACUUUCUUUCUCUUAAUUUUUCUGUGCACGCCCCACCUUUCUUCCAUUUUUAAAACAACGUCGAACGUGUCUUAUCCGCAUGAGAGGAUAAAGACAAGAGGUUACACAUUUGAAUUCAAAUCAAAUUUGAAUUCAAACAAAAACCAACUUAUCCUUAUCCUUUUGGGCGUGAGAAGAGAAAGGGUGUGGCUCUUUGUGCAUGGAAAAUAUUUCACGAGAAACCUUUUCUCGUGUAACUAAUGUGGCGCACAAAAUGGAUAAGGAUGAAGGGGCAAGUGAUAAGUUAUCCAUUCAAAUUCUAACAUGCUUUGAAUUUGAAUGGCUAACUAAUUAUUUUAUCCAUCCAUAUGGUGCAUAAAUGAGGGCGUGGGGAAGGGUUUUGCAUGAGAAAAAUUUCACGAGAAGUUUCUUCUCAUGAAUUCAAAUGGGUGCAAGGAAGUUGGGUGUCGCAGGGAAUUUAAAACAAGGUGGUUUGAUUAAAAUUGAGCCAACCUAAUCUAAAUAGGUUAAGCACAAUUAGAAUAGAUUAAACCCAACAUAAUUAGGCUUAAUUAUGCUCAAUAAAAUCCUAAUUAAAUCAGAAAUUAACUAAGCCUAACCCCUAAUCAAAUCAAGGACUAAACCACCUUAGUGAUUAGGUCAACAUUUAACCUAAUAGGGUCAAUCCAAACUGAAUCCAAUUCAAUUGGACUUGAUCCAAAAAUAAUUACUCAAUCAAAUUGAGUUAAUUAGUGAUCAAAUCACUAAUUAAACCUCUCAUAAAUAUUGAGUCCAAAUCCUGAUUGGCAAUCAGGCAUCAGAGACCAUCGAUAUGAAACCCUGAUCAAAGAAUUCAAAUUUGAAAUUCAAAAUUUGAAAUUCAAAAUUUUGACCCCGGUACCCAAAAUGUGUGAAACUCAUGAUCAGAGAAUCUUAAUUCUCAAUCAUAGAGUCUCAGAUAGAUAAGACUCAUAAUCAGCCAUCAGAUCAGAAAGGAACCUCUAAUGUGUGUGAUCCCGUAGGUUCGAACCUAAGCCGGUAGCACAGGAACCAAUUUCUGUACUAAUCGAAGUGACCAUCUAGCAAUGGUACCCGAUGACCGGAUAGGUCGAAUAAUCACAAUCGCAACAUUCAGAACCUACGUGAAUAUGGUUACCGUAUAAUUCA
rnacentral:lncRNA from 1 species